rnacentral:rRNA from 1 species
UCCCUUCGGGGACAGGAUGACAGGUGGUGCAUGGUUGUCGUCAGCUCGUGUCGUGAGAUGUUGGGUUAAGUCCCGCAACGAGCGCAACCCUUAUCAACAGUUGCCAUCAUUAAGUUGGGAACUCUGUUGAGACUGCCGUUGAUAAAACGGAGGAAGGUGGGGAUGAUGUCAAGUCAUCAUGGCCUUUAUGCUUAGGGCUACACACGUGCUACAAUGGUCGGUACAAAACGUCGCAAUCCCGCAAGGGGGAGCUAAUCGCAAAAACCGAUCUCAGUUCGGAUUGAAGUCUGCAACUCGACUUCAUGAAGCCGGAGUUACUAGUAAUCGCAGAUCAGAAUGCUGCGGUGAAUGCGUUCCCGGGUCUUGUACACACGC